AGGACGAACGCUGGCGGCGUGCUUAACACAUGCAAGUCGAGCGGUAAGGCUCCUUCGGGAGUACACGAGCGGCGAACGGGUGAGUAACACGUGAGCAAUCCGCCCUUCACAUCGGAAUAACCUCGGGAAACCGAGGCUAAUACCGGAUACGACCAUCGGUGGCAUCAUCUGAUGGUGGAAAGUUCCGGCGGUGGAGGAUGAGCUCGCGGCCUAUCAGCUUGUUGGUGGGGUAAUGGCCUACCAAGGCGACGACGGGUA
rnacentral:rRNA from 1 species